ACCUGGCUGGCUCAGUUGGUAGAGCAUGCAACUCUUGAUCUCAGGGUCAUGAGUUCAAGCCCCAUAUUGGGUA
rnacentral:tRNA from 1 species